rnacentral:lncRNA from 1 species
UUGGAGAAGAGGAGAUGAUUCUAGGGCAAGCUCGAAUCGCCCCAAAUGAGGAAGGGAGAGGAGAGGAAGUUGGUUCCUUAACGGGUGAUUUGAGGAGUGAAAAUCGGUGGGAGGAGAUAUUUGAGAGAAAUCUUUGGUUUGAGGGAGAAGAGAUGGAGAGCUUUUGGUUUGGUGGGAGGAAGAAGACGAAGGGCUGAGUCGGCUCAAGAAA